GAGCACGCGAGUACGUACUCGCGUACUUGGGCAUUGAUAAACGGCCAUGGUGUCAUUCUCGUCCUCGUCGUCGCCAAAAGUGCCGUCGUCCGCGGCUGCGGCACUAGUGCAGCUUUCAUUAGCUUGCGUCUGACCUGCAGCGAUAUCAUUCUGGCUUGGUGGGGUGUCAGCCAGCGAGUCCUCUGAUUCUGACCUUGUUCUUUUACUACUCAGAGUCUGAAGCCAGGAGAGCAUAUUAAGUGUUCAUUGUUUUUGUAUUUUAACCGAGCAGCUGUUUGCGCGUUUUACACACCCUCUCCGGACCACGUUGACAUGACAACGGCAAAAGCGACGCAUGCGCUUUUCACUUGUAAAACACAUUGGUGUAUGGGUAAUGUAGUCUCUGCUCUCGGUGGGACGAAUUAGGAAGCGUGCUUGUGAAGGGCGCUCUGAAAAGCGGCAGCGCAGCCAAACGAUUAUAACAGAUGUGCAAAUGAGAGUACCGGUACGCUAAAAGCACGUUCUGGGCGCAUGGAGAGGUGGCGGUACUCUCAAGAGCUAUAUUUAGAAGUGGCGGUACUGAGUACCGGCGCGUACCGGCCCACUUAAAGCACUGGUUAGUGUUCCCCUGUCUCGUCAGGUUAAUCAGGUCCAGCUGUGUCUCCCACCUGUAUGUGAUUGCCCAGUGUCCCUCUGUGUAUUUAUAGUGUGUGUUUCCCUCAGUUCCUCGUCGCGUCGUCUGUGUUCAUCACUCAGUGUCACCCUGCCUACUCUGCAUUGCUCUGUGUUCCUCCUCUGUGUCACCCUGCGUGCUCUCCCUGCUGUCCUCCCUCCAUGCUCAGUGGCCAGUGCGAAGUUGUGCUGCAGAUCCCAGUAUGAAAGCUGAGGGUCCAGUCAGCCGGCAGAAAGGCCAGUUGAUGCCUCGACGUGCGUUGGAACCGGUUUUGCCCGCACAGAGCGUUUCUGACAUGCUGACGUUGCUUAUGCAUAAGAGAAAAGCAACAGUACAGAGUGCUUCUCUGCCCCAGGACAUCCUUUCACACGGAGAAAGGUGAUGGCAGGAGCUUUUUUAAAUGCAUUUCGAAUCAACUUUUUUUUGUUUGUUUUACAAGAAGUGUAUUUCAUACAUUGGAACAAAUGUAAUCUUUUCUAUACUUUAUAACUAUGAAACUCUAAAGAUUUUAAGUUCAUGCACAUUGUGAAACAAGAAUCUAAAUCUUUCUGUCACAAUGAUUUCUAUAAACGCAUGAUGUUUAUGGGGAUAAUGUGAAAAAUCUUUUGUGGGCUCUAAUAAUGAUCAGUGGUGAUUGAAGAGGAAGCUUGAACCCCGGCUCUGGAGAUUUUCAUGACAAGUGACAGUGCAGACAUUUGUUAAUGAGAGAAUAUGUUUUAUCAUCAUAACGACUGGGAAUUUAAGCGAGAAAGAAGUGUUUACUCAUGUUUUUUAAUAGAAGACUUAAAACACUAAACUCUAAUUUCUGGGGUUUAUUUUAAGUUUACAGAAUAUAACAUCUUGUAUGACAAUGAGUU